rnacentral:rRNA from 1 species
AGCAGCCGCGGUAAUUCCAGCUCCAAUAGCGUAUAUUAAAGUUGUUGCAGUUAAAAAGCUCGUAGUUGAAUUUCGGGAUUGGCGCAUCGGUCGUGCCUUACGGGGUAUGAACUGGUGCAGUCAAUUUCUCACCUUCUGGAGAACCGCGAUGUCCUUAAUUGGGUGCCGCGGGGAACCAGGACCUUUACUUUGAAAAAAUUAGAGUGUUUAAAGCAGGCAUUUUUGCUUGAAUACAUUAGCAUGGAAUAAUAAAAUAGGACGGCAUGGUUCUAUUUUGUUGGUUUCUAGGACCACCGUAAUGAUUAAUAGGGAUAGUUGGGGGCAUUAGUAUUCAAUUGUCAGAGGUGAAAUUCUUGGAUUUAUUGAAGACUAA